UGGGGUAUAGCCAAGUGGCAAGGCAUCGGUUUUUGGCACCGACAUUCAAAGGUUCGAAUCCUUUUACCCCAA
rnacentral:tRNA from 1 species